AUCGAAAGGUCCGAAAUAUCGUGAGCCUAAAUCCAUCAAUUUGAAAUACAAUUUUAAAAUUUUGAUGGAUUCAGUUGAGGAUUUUGCCAGGCAAUGUACUUAGCGCGAAAAGGAAGACGUAGACACUAUUUCCGAAUGGAUUAAGGCAGUGAGAUCAUUGAUACAAAUCAGAAUUAAGAAACUGAAUGGGUCUAUCAAUGCCCAUGCUAAAUCAAUCUUUAAAGACCCAAAUGAUGCAAAACACC
rnacentral:lncRNA from 1 species